rfam:Bacteroides coprophilus CAG:333 genomic scaffold, scf21
CCCGCCAAGCCUCUUCACAAUGCUUAAAUCGGCGGGU